CACGUAGGAGGCGAGCGUUGUCCGGAAUCAUUGGGCGUAAAGAGCGCGCAGGCGGCUUGGCAAGUCGGGUGUGAAAUCCCGGGGCUCAACCCCGUGACUGCAUCCGAUACUGUCAGGCUAGAGGUAGGUAGGGGAGAUCGGAAUUCCUGGUGUAGCGGUGAAAUGCGCAGAUAUCAGGAGGAACACCGGUGGCGAAGGCGGAUCUCUGGGCCUUACUGACGCUGAGGCGCGAAAGCGUGGGGAGCGAACAGG
rnacentral:rRNA from 1 species